CAGUUCCUUCUUCAAAGGGAGGGGCUGUGCAUUUUGCUGGUGUCACAUCUCCCUGGAGUGACAAUCUCCAAAGCUGCUCAGACACUGCGUUAAGAUGAUGCCUGGUGAUCUCUCAGUGCUGGCCAGCAUUUAUAGCUGUGGUCUAAAGGCACGGCAGAGACACCGGGAUGCUGACAAUGUCUUUCCUGCAGCAAAGAGCAGCACCUGGCAGAUCUCCUGUCCCUCAAGUGUGUUUGCACCUGUUUGCCGCUUUUCGUAGGAGAAAUAAUUUUUGAGUGUCUCAAAAUAAUACAAAAUACGUGGGAAUGAAAGGAGGAGAAACCCCAUUGCCUCAAAGGUCAAGUUAGCUAUCAGGAAGCAGCUCUCGGUAACAUUUCUUUCCUGUAUUUUGCUGAAAACAAGAUUCAGUGGUCAGGAUGACCACCACCUAGUCUAGAAGCCAAAAGCAGAAAUGAAAGCAGCACCUCUCUUUUGUGACUGAGGUGGCAAAAGACAAAGCUUCAGGGGAAUGCCCAGUGCCAAUGCACUCUAGAGGAAAAGGCAUCAUUUGCCUGAUGGCAGACCCCUCAUGGAUCCUGUGGGGUUAGGCCUUUGCUGCAAAGAAUCCACCAAGCUGUUCCCCUUGAAAGCCAGCUCUGCUGACUGUAGAUGGGAUUGAUUUGCAACAUUUUCUCUGUACCAUGUGUCCUGGUUUAGGGCAAUUUUGGGAGGAAACCUCCCGACAGGGCCCCUCCCAAAAGGAAACCCACAUGGCCACUGCCCCCAGCCGGUGUGGGAACAAUUUCCUUGGAGAUAAGUGGAAAGAAGUUGUUUAUUUAACAGGCAAAGCACUCCCCAGCACACAAAAUGAACAAUACUGGAUGUCAAAACUCAUUUGCUGCUCUGAAGAGAUGGCAAGUUCAGAAAGUCUCUCCUGGGGUUUGUCACUGUGUUAUCUGUCCCUCCAGUGCUGGGAAAGGCUGCAGAGUAGGCCCUGGUGGGCUACAAAGUGUGAGCUCUCGAUGUUUUGCCGGGUCCCAGUCUGGAGCAGGUUCGAAUGGUUCCAAGAAAGGGGAAAGAAAAACAGUAAAGGGAAAACUCAGACUGCCUUAGCUAGCUAAACUAACUAACUAACUAAAAAGCAAAAGGAGUGUGGUGCUCUACCCCAACUGUGCCUAGACAACAAUACUGGAGUUCCGUGUUCCAGCAGACUGCGGGGCAGAGUGCAGUUGAUAACAAAACUCUGUGCUCCCUCUUCUCCUGACACCUACUGUCUGAUCCAGUCUUGGAGGCACAGAAUAUAACAUCCAGCAUAAACAGAACAUGUGACUGGGGGUGCAAGCAUCAUAAUGUCACCCCAGAACAGAAGCCAAAUGUACAAGAAGUCACCAGAAAAGUAGAGUCCUUCCAGUGUCAGGUGCACUGAAGAGAAGCAGCUGCCAACGGCUCUGGACCCAGAGCACAGCUGUCUAAGGAUCCUGUGUUUUGAAGACUUCUCCAUUUGUGUGUGCAGCAAGGGAAGCCUUUGCCUGCUCUGGCUGUGGCUGGACACUAUUUUCCUUGCAAGCUGGAAAAGGAAUCUGUGUCUAGAGGAUUUCCUCCAAUGGCUGUUACAGGGCUUCAGGCUUCUCAGAAGGCCUGAGUGGUGGUGCUUGAGUUUGGCAAACAGACUCCAAGGGGAGAUGUGAGAAGACCCAACUGGUAAAUUCCUGGAAGAAUCAGACACAUGCACAGAUAGAGAAAAGAAAAAGGAGAAAAGACCCAGAGAAGAAUCUGUCGUGUUCCACUUACUGUUUGCCCAAGGACUUUUUUCCCGUUGGACUGCAGUGUUUUGCACUUGCAGGGACUAAAGGAUAUCUUUCUCUGCUGCUGUUUUGUUUCUAGGGGUUUCGGCACUGUGUGCAUGGCAGUGGAGUCUGCCACAGGAGAAGAGGUGGCCAUCAAGAAAAUUAGUCUCCUGCAAGAGAGCAGCAGUGAGCUGUGCCUGAAUGAAAUCCAGGUCAUGCGUGGCACUAAGAAUGCCAACCUUGUGAACUAUGUAGACAGGUGAGUGGUUCUGCUGUCCUGCCAUGAAAGGUCAUUCACAUCCUGCAAGCCAGAGGUUCAACCACUCCUUUGGGCGCUGGCAAAAGAGGAUGGAGCUGUUAAUUCCUGUUUCUGGGCUGAUUUACAGCAUCUUGGAAGGAGAUUGCAUUCGGGCUGCAUUAAUCUUUCCUGGCAUACCUAGUGUGAAGGGCGCUUUCAAAGACAGGACUGGGCCCUGUCUUACUGAGCCAACAGCCUCCAAGUUCCUGUCCUCUCUCCACAUUGUUUUGUUGGGUUUGGGGUUUGAUAUUUCCCCUAGGUUUGAAGUGCUAACAAAGCACUGUCUAUUGUAUUUCCCUUGGCCUCUUGCAUUGGUGUGGAUACCGAGCUGUCUUUUACACUGCACAGAGUUCAAACCCUGUAGAGCAUAGUGAAUGACUACUCACUUCCUCCUGUGUUCCUCUGAGAGAGACACAGAAAACAAGAAUCCACCAGGUCAUGUAAGUGCAUGCCUUAAUCUCCAUGCUGUUGUUUCCUCCUUUCAGCUACCUGGUGGACGAGGAACUCUGGCUUGUGAUGGAAUACAUGGACGGAGGUUCUUUACAUGAUGUCAUCAGGGAGACUCACAUGGCAGAAGGAGAGAUAGCAGCUGUCUCUCGGGAGUGCCUGCAAGGCCUGGAUUUCCUGCACUCCAAGCAAGUGAUCCACCGCGAUAUCAAAAGCCACAACAUUCUCCUGGGCUUGGAUGGAUCUGUCAAGUUGGCUGAUUUUGGCCUUGCUGCUCAGCUCACUGCUGAGCAGAGCAAACGGAGAUCAGCUGUUGGGACUACUUACUGGAUGGCGCCAGAAAUUUUCACCAGGAAGCCCUAUGGCCCCAAAGUGGACAUCUGGUCCUUUGGAAUUGUGGGGAUCGAGAUGGUGGAAGGAGCGCCUCCGUACCUGAUGAAAACCUCCCGCACGGUACGCUGCAGCUGCUCUCAGAUACUGCUGUCACCCUGACAAAAUCUGCUCCCAUCCUUCUGCCUGGGAAGCUUGCCAACACCUGAAAAUGAUAGGUUCCAGGCUGCACAGUCUCUUGUGCUUCUUGGCCAGAUCAUCCCCUUGCCAUUUUUGUGCAUGAACAACACCAAAAAAUCGUGAUGCCUUUUGCUUGGCAGAAGCUUUGCCUCAGGGAGCAGGGAGCAGUGCUGAGCUGCAUUUUGUGGAAUAAUCCUUGGAAAUAGUAGAAUGAGAUGGAAGUCCUUCUUUUAAAAUGCCUGAAGAGGUGGUGUCAGUGCUCAGAGAAGCAAAGUGUGCUGUUGCUGAUGGAGCUGCUGCUAAUUCCAGCAGCCAGUGAAAUCAGGGGUCAAGGCAAGAGCCUUUGCAUACUGGACUGGCUAUGGCUGCCUCUGGCUUUGGGUUGUUUUAGUAGGGCUAGGGAGUAAAGUGCCACUGGAGAGUGGAGCUUGUCCAGUGGGGUCUGUGUGAGCAGUUUGGGGUGCGAAGGAGACAGGUAGAGUGUGGCAUUUCCUUCUUCUCUAGGUUCAACAGCUGAUAAGCACCGGGGCCCCCCCGAAGCUGCAGAAGCCCAGGCAGCAGUCGGCGUGGCUGCGAGACUUCCUGCACUGCUGCCUGGAGAGGGACGAGGACAGGCGCUGGUCUGCCCAGGAACUUCUGCAGUUUUCCUGUUGUACCCCUCACUUCCCUGAACCCACUAUCCCUGAGAAGGAGAGGAUGGGAGAUGGAACCUGCUCAAGAGCACAGUGCUCUCAUACCAGGACCUCACUGCUGCCUCACCUGAGGGUUUACAGCUGCCUCCAGGCCCUUCCAGGCUAAGCGCAGGUGCUCAGGAGUCUGACUUCUUCCUGACAUCUCCCAAGAAAGUCUUUGCCUCAUCUGGAUUUCUUGGGGUUUCAUCAGAGGAACCAGGCACCAGCAAAUUUCAUCUCAAGCGUGAGCUCAUCAUUCCGCUGGUUCCCAUAGACUGCAGAUGCCGCCCUGAGCUCAUGGUUUCUCUGCGUCCCAUAGACCAUCACAGCCCUUCCAUGGCCUCUCCAGAGGGAAGCAGCUGCACAUCUUCAGAGCAGUAUUUGCCAGCCUGCAGUUCAUCAGGUAGGGAAAGAGUUUCUACCCUUGCUUUCCAAGCAGGUCCUGGUUAGUGACCCUUUAAAGAGUUUUCCUGCAGUGCUCUAUCAUGGGUAGAUCUCAAGCGAGAAUCGGGUAGAAAGUGUCAAGUCGCCUAGGAAGAGGGAUCUUGAAAACAGAAGGAUUUUCUGCCAGCUUUUCCUGUCCUUGCUGCAGAUUUGGAGGGUGUUCUGGGCAUUUUCCAGACAGCCCUUCUGUAGGGGUACAAGGGCAAGGCAAAAGAUAUUGCCUAACAAGUCAUCAGUGUUAGGUGCACUCCCCUCUUUCUUUGAAUGAAGCCAGACUAGGAUGGUGAGAGGAUAUUGCAGAGCUUUAAGACUGUCUGCCCUGAAAAUCAAGCCAAACCACUGAAAUGAGCUCUGCCUGCCCCAGAAGAGUUGGAGCUGCAGAAUACAGCCUCACCCACAAGGCUGGUUUUAGAAAAAACUCACAGUUUAAUUUCAGCAUGUGUGUCUGAAGAUCUGGGCUCUUCCUGGGUGAAUCCACUUUCUGUGGUCUUUUGUGAUGAGAAACCAAA